UGCUCGUGUCCAAGAAAUCUGGCAAGAAUUUCUUGCUCCAGGUGCACCCAGUGCCAUCAAUCUAGAUUCAAAAAGUUAUGACAAAACCACGCAGAAUGUAAAGGACCCUGGAAGAUACACAUUUGAAGAUGCUCAGGAGCACAUUUACAAACUGAUGAAAAGUGAUUCUUACCCUCGUUUUAUACGAUCCAGUGCCUACCAGGAGCUGCUACAGGCCAAGAAAAAGGCUGGAACCCCACAUUCAUUUUUCCGAGGAGCCAGGAACCACCUUGAACACGGGAACUUCUGUAGCGCUUUGAGAGUAACCAUUCAUAAAGACCUUACAGCUCUGAACUACAGC
rnacentral:lncRNA from 1 species